UACACACCGCCCGUCACACCAUGGGAGUUGAUUGCAUCAGAAGUAGGUAGUCUAACCGUAAGGAGGGCGUUUACCACGGUGUGGUCAAUGACUGGGGUG
rnacentral:rRNA from 1 species